rnacentral:rRNA from 1 species
AUACGUAGGGGGCGAGCGUUAUCCGGAUUUAUUGGGCGUAAAGCGUGUGUAGGCGGUUUGUUAAGUUUAAGAUUAAAGCCCGAGGCUUAACCUCGGUUCGUCUUAAAAACUGGCAGACUUGAGUGCAGUAGAGGCAAGUGGAAUUUCUAGUGUAGCGGUUAAAUGCGUAGAUAUUAGAAGGAACACCAGUGGCGAAGGCGGCUUGCUGGGCUGUUACUGCCGCUGAGACACGAAAGCGUGGGGAGCAAAUAGGAUUAGAUACCCUAGUAGUCCACGCCGUAAACGAUGAGUACUAAGUGUCGGGCAACCGGUGCUGAAGUUAACACAUUAAGUACUCCGCCUGAGUAGUACGGUCGCAAGGCUGAAACUCAAAUGAAUUGACGGGG